rnacentral:rRNA from 1 species
AUUGAACGCUAGCGGGAUGCUUUACACAUGCAAGUCGAACGAGUGGCGGACGGGUGAGUAAUAUAUCGGCACGUGCCCAGUAGCGGGGGAUAACUACUCGAAAGAGUGGCUAAUAACGCAUACUAUUGGCGCGGCCGAUAUCGGAUUAGCGAGUUGGUGGGGUAAAGGCACACCAAGGCCACGCUCCGUAGCUGGUUUGAGAGGACGACCAGCCACACGUGGACUGAGACACGGCCCGUACUCCUACGGGAGGCAGCAGUGGGGAAUUUUGGACAAUGGUGGAAACCCUGAUCCAGCCAUCCCGCGUGUAUGAGAAGGCCUUCGGGUUGUAAAGUACUUUUGGCAGAGAAGCGGUAUCUGCAGAAUAAGCACCGGCUAACUACGUGCCAGCAGCCGCGGUAAUUC